rnacentral:lncRNA from 1 species
AAGACGUGUCUGCUUCGCCGUUGCCUUCCACCGUGAUUGUGAGUUUCCUGAGGCCUUCCCUAGCCAUGCUUCCUGUAUAGUCUGUGGAACGAUUCUCUAGGAAACAAGAAAUCAAAUCUCCGGGGACUAUCCAGGUGGGAAAUGGAAAUAAAUGAUAAACAUACGAAUACAUCGAUUCUGUUUCCUAUUGGUUGGGAGUGGGCUUUUUUAUGAUCUUGUUAGUAUUCCAGAUUUAUGAAUUCUAAAAAAUUGAGAGACUAUUUGAAAUAUUUAAAUGCAUUUUAAAGCCUGUGCGUGGGAAAUGGAGCUGUCACCUCACAAGAUCCAAAGUGUCUUUAACAACCCCUGCUCUGCUCCGGGAGGGCUCUGCCGUUCGGGACCCAGGCUCCGUCAGAGCAGCAGGAGCUGCAGAACUACAGCUGGAUCGGGGGAUGGACCUACCCCACCCUGGGCUGUCACUGGGGGGCCCAGUGUUAUCCCAGAGGAACUGCUGCCUGGACCACUGUCCUUGAGUAUGUCUGCAAGCAUGCCACAGAAAUCACUAGAUGGCGGAUGCUAGCCCUGUUCCAUUAAAAGCAAGUGCCCACCCCGUCUCUACUAAAAAUAAAAAAUUAGCCAGGCAUGGUGUUGGAUGCCUGUGGUCCC